UUCCAGGCAAGUGAUGGGACGAAAAUAAUGGCCAUCAGUUAAUGCCCUGAGCUAUUCAGACCAGGGAGGGGGCCAGGGGACGGCUUGAGCAGCUCUAUUAUUGAGCGGUUCUUGCUUUGCUCCAGCCUCCAGUAUACAUGCUGCUUCUACUGGAUCUGAUAACUGAUAAACGCAGAUAUCCUCUUCAAGCACCUCUCCUAGAUCUCCUCUUGAGCUAAUCAGUGUGGAUACGGUCCGUGCGAGGUGCAGAUCUCCUCUUGCAGCACUCUCAUAGAUCAGUGGCCCUGAAUAUUCAGUAGGGAUGGAAAAUGGAUGAGAGUCGGAGCAAACUGGGCCUCCAAGAUUAUCAUUAUUGACUGGAAGACUGGUUAACUUGUGAGUCUUCGGUGUUCGCCAUUCCCUGAAACAAGUCAACCUGGUGUUUUGGGGGGAUCUGUGGCGCUAGCUGAGUUUGUCUGAUCGAUGGGAACCAUACUAGAAUCUUUGCUUGGCUCAUGUGCCAGUAAGUUGCAAGAAAUCAUUACUAAUGAGGCCAUACUAAUCCUAGGGGUCGAAGAAGAGCUCGCAGACGUGCUGCGGCGAGUAGAAUUAAUACGGUGUUGUAUUGCUGAUGCUGAGAAAAGGAGGACAAAAGAUCUGGCAGUAAACAGUUGGCUUGAUCAACUGAGAGAUAUUAUCUAUGAUGUUGAUGAGCUCUUGGACGUGGCUAGAUGUAAAGGAAGCAAGCUACUGCCUGACCAUACUUCAUCAUCAUCAAGCAGAUCAGCUGCAUGUAAAGCCCUUUCAGUUUCCUCUUGCUUUUGUAACAUCGGGCAACGUCAUGACGUUGCUGUUCGCAUUAGAAGCAUCAACAAGAAGAUAGAGAACAUUUCAAAGGAUAAGAUAUUUUUAACAUUCAGCAAUAGUACACAUCUUACCGGAAAUGGUCCAACAUCCAAACUGAUAAGAAGUUCCAACCUUGUUAAGCCCAACCUUGUGGGAAAAGAGAUCAAACAUUCCAGCAGGAAGUUAAUAGACUUAGUGCUUGCACACAAGGAAAACAAGUCUUACAAAAUCGCUAUUGUUGGAACCGGAGGAGUUGGCAAGACAACACUAGCUCAGAAAAUAUACAAUGACCAAAAAAUAAAAGGAAGCUUCAACAUACAAGCAUGGGUUUGUGUUUCACAAGAUUACAAUGAAGUUUCUCUUCUAAAAGAGGUUCUUAGAAAUAUUGGUGUGCAUCAUGAGCAAGGUGAAACCAUUGGAGAGCUGCAAAGAAAGCUUGCAGAAACAAUUGAAGGCAAGAGUUUCUUUCUCGUUCUGGAUGAUGUGUGGCAGUCCAAUGUAUGGAUAGAUUUGCUAACAUCUCCAUUACAUGCAACAACUGCUGGGGUAAUAUUGAUCACCACACGAGAUGAUCAAAUUGCAAUGAGAAUAGGCAUAGAAGAUACCCAUCGAGUUAAUCUCAUGUCAGUAGAGGUGGGAUGGGAGCUACUUUGGAAGAGUUGAACAUCGAUGACGAGAAAGAAGUGCAGCAUUUAAGAAACAUAGGGAAUGAGAUCGUUCGUAAAUGCGGUCGCCUCCCUCUUGCUAUCAAGGUUACUGCUAGUGCUUUGACUUGCAGAGAUCUCACAGAGAAUGAGUGGAAAAGGUUUUUGGGCAAAUACUCCCAGAGCAUUCUCUCUGAUGGAACAGAAGCAGCUCUGUAUCUAAGCUACGAUGAAUUGCCACAUCAUCUGAAGCAGUGUUUCCUUUAUUGUGCUUUGUACACUGAAGAUUCUAUCAUUGAACUUCGUAUUGUUGCUAAGUUAUGGAUUGCUGAAGGCUUUGUCGUGGAGCAACAAGGCCAAGUACUAGAAGACAUAGCAGAAGAGUACUACUAUGAGCUAAUCCAUCGGAAUCUGCUCCAACCCUGUGGCAAAUCUUAUAGCCAGGCUAAAUGCACAAUGCAUGACCUCCUAAGACAGCUUGCUUCUAAUAUAUCAAGAGAAGAAUGUUUUAUUGGUGACGUUGAAACAUUAAGUGGUGCAAGUAUGUCAAAACUGCGACAUGUUACUGCCGUCACUAAAAAGGAAAUGUUAGUGUUACCUAGCAUAGAUAAGGUGGAAGUGAAGGUGAGGACUUUCCUAACUGUUCAUGGUCCAUGGAGACUUGAGGAUACAUUGUUCAAGAGAUUUCUUCUUCUUCGUGUUCUGGUUUUGAACUACUCACUUGUACAGAGCAUUCCAGAUUAUAUAGGAAAACUGAUACAUCUACGAUUACUUAAUCUAGAUUAUACUGCUAUAUCUUGUCUUCCCAAAUCUAUUGGUUUCCUAAAGAACCUUCAAGUAUUGAGUUUGAGAUUCUGUAAGGAUCUGCACAGUCUUCCUUUGACGAUGACCCAACUCUGCAAUUUAAGAUCCCUUUUGCUUCUUGGUACAGCAAUAAGUAAGGUUCCAAAAGGAAUAGCAAAACUGAAGUUCCUCAAUGAAAUAGAAGCAUUUCCUGUUGGUGUUGGAUGUGAUAAUGCUGAUUUACAAGAUGGAUGGAAGUUGGAAGAGUUGUCUUCUGUAUCGCAGAUUAGGUAUCUUCAUCUGGUUAAAUUGGAAAGAGCUGCUCAUUGUAGUCCCAAUACAGUGCUGACGGACAAAAAGCAUCUAAAGAUUCUAAUCCUAGAGUGGACUGAACUUGGAGAGGGAUCAUAUUCAGAAAACGAUGUUAGCAAUACUGAGAAUGUCCUUGAACAGCUAAGGCCUCCAGGCAACCUGGAAAACCUAUGGAUUCAUGGAUUCUUUGGUCGGCGCUAUCCCACCUGGUUUGGUACCACCUUUUUGUCUUCACUGAUGCACUUGAUCCUCAGUGAUCUACGAUCAUGUGUGGAUCUUCCACCGCUUGGGCAGAUACCCAACUUGAAAUUUCUGAGAAUUGAGGGAGCAUACGCAGUCACCAAGGUUGGACCUGAAUUUGUUGGUUGCAGGAAGGGUGAUUCCGCAUGCAAUGAGUUACUUGCUUUACCUAAACUUGAAAUUUUGGUCAUCGUGGAUAUGCCCAACUGGGAGGACUGGUCUUUUUUGGGGGAAGACGAAUCUGCUGAUGCGGAAAGGGGAGAGGAUGGAGCUGCUGAGAUUUGUAAAGAGGAUGCCCAAUCUGCAAGGUUGCAACUUCUGCCUCGUUUGGUGGUGUUGGAACUAUUAUAUUGCCCAAAGCUGAGUGCUCUGCCGCGACAGCUUGGAGAGGGCACGGCCACCUUGAAGGAGCUCGCAUUAGUUGGAGCAAACAACUUGAAGGCCGUGGAGGACUUCCCACUGCUCUCUGAGUUGCUUUAUAUUCAGAACUGUGAAGGCCUGGAGAGGGUCUCCAACCUCCCUCUCGUGUCAGAAGUGCGUGUAUUUCACUGUCCAAACUUAGGGUGCGUAGAGGGGUUGGGCAGUUUGCAGCGGCUGGUGCUGGGCGAGGACAUGCACGAGGUCUCUUCCCGCUGGUUGCCCGAGCUUCAAAACCAGCACCAACAACUUCAUGACGGGGAAGACCUGGAUGUCUUCGUGGUUCCACGGAAACUGCAGGACAGUUGGAUGGCAACGAAAUCACAAGCUCAUCACUUGGACGGGCAAAGCACGAGGCAUACUAAGAGCAUGUCCAAUGCAAGAUGCUUAAGGCAGUGCUAUAAAAUUAAACCGGUUUAUUCUCAAGCACCAGUGCUUAUUUCUAUACUAGAGGUGCCUAAUUAAGCACCUGUCCUAUAGAACACAAGCUCGAGGACGGGCAAGUCGAGGGAGCCUGAGAAGGUUGAAGAUGCGCAAGUAACUUUAUGUUUAGCGAUCGAGCUGGUGACGGAAGUGUCCUGUUUUUCUCCAGGCAGCUGCCCAGGAGAUGCAUCGAAUUUUUCAUUCAGUUUCUUUCUGAAAUUGGGCCAGAGGCCUAAUUUGCUGUGCUGAACCUGGGUGUCGUGGUUUGUUUCGAUCUUCGAAUGUAACCGACAAACUACGUUUUUGAUUUCUUUGGUAAACUUGGACCGGCGGACUUUUUGCUGUACCGAACCUUUUCCUUGGAAUUGAACCGACGAAUUUCAGUUUGUUUUCUA